GGAAAACACACAGAGCAUCAUGUCUGAAUGGCAACAGGAGUGUCACCUUCCCUCGUGCUGGAUCACAACAGUCCUGCAUCUCAAACAACUGAAGGAUGAAGGUCUUUAAAAAUCUCAGAUUGAAAUGGAUGAAUAUGCAAGUGCCACUUAUUGACG
rnacentral:lncRNA from 12 species